rnacentral:rRNA from 1 species
UACGGAGGGUGCAAGCGUUAUCCGGAUUCACUGGGUUUAAAGGGUGCGUAGGUGGGCAGGUAAGUCAGUGGUGAAAUCUCCGGGCUUAACCCGGAAACUGCCAUUGAUACUAUUUGUCUUGAAUACCGUGGAGGUCAGCGGAAUAUGUCAUGUAGCGGUGAAAUGCUUAGAUAUGACAUAGAACACCGAUAGCGUAGGCAGCUUGCUACACGAAUAUUGACACUGAGGCACGAAAGCGUGGGGAUCAAACAGG